AAAAAAUGUCAAGACUCGAGAGGGAGAGAAAAAGCUAGCUUUAGAGAGAGAGAGAGAGAGAGAGAGAGAGAGGGCCGAUCAAAGAACCACCAUCAGCAACCUUCUUUCGGGUACCGGAGUCUUUGUCUCGCCGCCGUCUUGCUGCUGGAACUUUUGCUGCAGCUGCUUCAAGUUAAGGCCCUUAAGGUGUCUCACCUUAGGCAUGGAUACAACACUUAACUUAAGGGGAGUGCAUUUCAAUGGUGAUCAGACUAAAGAUUGAUGAACUCAAAUGCUGUUCUGUUUUGGUUAAAUUUUGGAUUUGAGUUUUUCUUUUUUCCCUCUCGUUAAUGAACACCAACUGAAGGAUGAAGAAUGAAGCUGCAAUGUAUAAGAGAAUCCCUACUUUGGUGAUUAUUGGUGGUUUCUUAUAUCAAUAGUGGGAUUGUGAUAGCCUUUUGUAUGGGGUCCAAGUGUUAACAUUGAAAGUUUCUUUAUAUGCAGUGACCAUUUAUGUAGGAGUACCAUAUAAUUAUGUAGAAGGAAAAAAAUGAGAUUACUAGGUUCUGAAUGCAGAAAGAAAGUCUUUUAAUAA